CCUACGGGAGGCAGCAGUGAGGAAUAUUGGUCAAUGGACGAGAGUCUGAACCAGCCAAGUAGCGUGAAGGAUGAAUGCUCUCUGGGUUGUAAACUUCUUUUAUAUGGGAAUAAAGUUCAGUAUGUAUACUGUUUUGUAUGUACCAUAUGAAUAAGGAUCGGCUAACUCCGUGCCAGCAGCCGCGGUAAUACGGAGGAUCCGAGCGUUAUCCGGAUUUAUUGGGUGUAAAGGGAGCGUAGGCGGACGCGUAAGUCAGCUGUGAAAGUUUGCGGCUCAACCGCAGAAUUGCAGUUGAUACUGGGUGGCUGGAGUGCAGCAGAGGUAGGCGGAAUUCGUGGUGUAGCGGUGAAAUGCUUAGAUAUCACGAAGAACUCCGAUUGCGAAGGCGGCUUACUGGACUGUAACUGACGUUGAGGCUCGAAAGCGUGGGGAGCAAACAGGAUUAGAUACCCGGGUAGUC
rnacentral:rRNA from 1 species